AUUGAACGCUGGCGGCAGGCUUAACACAUGCAAGUCGAGCGGAGAUGAGGUGCUUGCACCUUAUCUUAGCGGCGGACGGGUGAGUAAUGCUUAGGAAUCUGCCUAUUAGUGGGGGACAACAUUCCGAAAGGAAUGCUAAUACCGCAUACGCCCUACGGGGGAAAGCAGGGGAUCUUCGGACCUUGCGCUAAUAGAUGAGCCUAAGUCGGAUUAGCUAGUUGGUGGGGUAAAGGCCUACCAAGGCGACGAUCUGUAGCGGGUCUGAGAGGAUGAUCCGCCACACUGGGACUGAGACACGGCCCAGACUCCUACGGGAGGCAGCAGUGGGGAAUAUUGGACAAUGGGGGGAACCCUGAUCCAGCCAUGCCGCGUGUGUGAAGAAGGCCUUUUGGUUGUAAAGCACUUUAAGCGAGGAGGAGGCUACCGAGAUUAAUACUCUUGGAUAGUGGACGUUACUCGCAGAAUAAGCACCGGCUAACUCUGUGCCAGCCGCCGCCGUAACAC
rnacentral:rRNA from 1 species